rnacentral:antisense_RNA from 1 species
CAUAUAUCUUAUUCAAGGUAAAUUUUAUGUUAGAUUGUUUGUCUGGCAUUUGGGAGGCUAAAUUAACUUAGGAGGCUAGAAAUCCCAUCUCUACUUUUUUUUUCUUUUUGAGAUGGAGUCUUACUCUGUCGCCCAGGCUGGAGUGCAGUGGCAUGAUCUCGCCUGGGAGACAAAAGUGAAACUCCAUCUCAAAAAAAUAAAAAAUAAUAAUAAUAAUAAAUUCAAGGCACUUGUAUCAGUGGGUUUGCAAUAUCAAGGGCAAAGAACAUUUUUUAUUUCUUCGAGAAAUUCCUUCCACCCAAAACCCAUAAAUUCUUCUCCUCUCAUAGUAGAUCUUUAUUGUCAAACCUAACAACUGUAAGUUACCUAAGUGGAAUACUUGUAGAAUUGUGAAUCAUUUGUUCACUCUACAAAUAAGCAAAGAAAUAAACUAAAUGCUUUCCACUUAAAGUUGUCUAGUACUAUUGUUUUAACUGCAGUUAAAACAGAAGUAAAUAAACUUAUCUGUCAUAUUCUAUACUGUCAUUUCCAUAAUAAAGCUUUCUUUUCCUUUUCAACUGAUGCUGGAUGAAAAAUUCAUUAUGUAAAACAUCCAUGAACAAUUUUUCCAGAUCAAUUUUAUUUAAGAAAUAAGUUGACAGAAAGAAGCAAAAGCAACUUACUAAUAUGUCAAACAAAACACAAAUACCAAACCUAAUUCAGUGCAGGUAACAUAAUAUAAAUCAACAAAAAUUCGAUUAAAUAGUUCACACUAGAUAAAAAGUAGGGUGUUCUAUUUCCCCUUCAAAAUACGGAAGCU